rnacentral:lncRNA from 1 species
AGACUAGACUUGCCUUCUCAAACUUAAGUUAUACAGUAUAGGCUUGUUAAAAAAUACUUCUAGAUUAGAUAUUUCUUUCAAGUCUUUAGUUUUUUUGCUUCCAAUCUGAAGGUCUAAGUUUGGAAACUUAAAUUUUCUUGAGAGGACAUCCUUUUGAAUAAAAUCAUUGUGCAUAUUGAAGAAUUCUACAAUCACUCUCAAAUAUAUCAUUAGUAAACAUGAUUUAUACUCAAAUAACUUUGACAUCAUUAAAAUCAUUUUUAGAACAAACAAAAAUAACCUGUGGUCCUGCAGAUUGAUCAUGAGCUAAGUCAGAUUGACCCCCUCGUAAGUUACCUCUUCGAUGGUGCCCUCAUUAUAAACCCUAUUGAAGCUUGGAGGAUUGAAUGGCAAGCCCCCUAUUAUAUUCUCCUCAAAGAAAAGUUGUAUAAAAGAUCAUACUCGCUAUCCCUACUCAAAUGCCUCCGAUCGUCCAAAGUUGAUAAUGCUCUUUGGGAGGUACAUAAAGAAAUCUACAAAAAUUACUUAGGAGAUAAAUCAUCGGCCUAUAAGGUACUCUGACAGGGUACUACUGGCCAACUCUACAAUAAGAUGCUAUAGAGCUCAUCAGAAAAUAUGAUCAAUGCCAUAGAUAUGCUGGCAUCUAGUGCCGACCUUUAAUUGAGCUCACACCAAUCUCCAUAUCUUGGCUAUUUGCCUAGUGAAAAAUUGACAUCCUUGAUUUCUUGCCCACA